UCAGUGCACAUAUUUAGCAGAGUUAGCAUGGUCAGUACUUAAAUUGGAAGACCAUAUUGUAGUAUUUAUCAGUGCACAUAUUUUCAAAAUAUCAAGAAGCGGAAUGUUCUUUUCUGAAUUGUAAGAUUUCUUAUCAUUUUUCCAUUUUCUAUGCUCUAUAAAUUUGAUAUGUUCUGUCAAUUAAUAGUUUAGUACUGUACUUUAAUAUGCUUAACACAUUCAAUUUUUGGUCGAUUCUAUGAACACUUUAUACCGUUAUAAAUAUACAACUAUUAGACUUUGUGGGUUGGAAAAAAAUAUUUUAUCCCUUCUAAUUUCGAAUACCCAAGUUGAAAAUCCUGGGCCCGCCCCUGGAGGCCAGCAGCCGCCCAACGCCCUCACUGACUCUGUCUGUUUGUCUAUCUAUCUUAGCGUUUGACUGUUUCAAGUCCUCACUAUCUUGUCUCAGGUUUGUUCCACGGCUCCAAUUCUGUAUGUGCUGCGACUUUACAUUUUGUAAGUUUGCAUGCAUCAAUAGAACUAGAGUCAUUAAGGGAUUUUCUUCAAUGAACUAUAUAAAAACAAUUUAAGAAGCAAGGGCAAAAAAACUUGAAUGGUUGCUUGGUUACAUUUAUUGAAAGGGAUUUCUUCUCAAGUUAAGGAUGAGGACAGCAUCAUUCAUUUUUUUUUUAAAAAAAAGCAUUGGCAAAUUGUCCUCUAAAUUGUAAGAUUUAUUUAUUAUCAUUUGCCAUGUUCUAGAUAUUGAUAUGUUGAAAAAUUGUAAAUUAAAUGUUGUAAUUCUAUAUGUGGAGGAUUUUAUAUGAAAAUUCUAUGAAUAUACAAAAUUAUGCUCAAGUUUGUGUUAUAUCCGCUAUAGAAUAUACACAACUAAUAGUUUAGAAUUGUGUGAUAUUAUACAUGCCAAACAUUAGUCUUUUGCUCUAAAAAAAAAUUCCUACCCUUUUACGUUUUGAAUACACAACUUUAAAAUCCUGGGCCUGCUCAUCUAUGAUGAGUCAGCGAUAUGCUGCUGAUUUGCUGCCAUUGUAGUUUGUAGGAUUUGUAGAUUCUGAUGAAGAGUAAUGUGGAUAUUGCAUCGUUUGAACUUGCACAUUUUGAACGUGCUUUUUAAAAUUAGUCGAUUAUUGAUGUUAAAAGAUAUUAUUGAUUUAUUUUUAUCACAUUUUAAUUAAAUUUGUACUUGUAUAUGGGAUUUGCGGUGUUCGGAAAUUUUUUAUAUGUGAUGUGAACCUUUGAAGUAGGACUACCCAACCAAAAAAUCCUGGCUACUCCCCGCUCCGGCACAUGCCUCCACAUCCGAGGCUCCUACUCAACGCAGUGUUACCGGGACACGGACACAGGUGUCGGAGUCCGACUCGGACUCGAGUGUCCGACUUGGCAAGCUG
rnacentral:sRNA from 1 species